rnacentral:rRNA from 1 species
GAUGAACGCUGGCGGCGUGCCUAAUACAUGCAAGUCGAGCGAACAGAUGAGGAGCUUUCUCCUCUGACGUUAUCGGCGGACGGGUGAGUAACACGUGGAUAACCUACCUAUAAGACUGGGAUAACUUCGGGAAACCGGAUCUAAUACCCGAUAAUAUAUUGACCCUCAUUGUUCAAGAGUUAGAUACGGUUGUUCUGUCGCUUAUAGAUUGAUCCGCCCCGCAUUCGCUAGUUGGUAAGGUAACGGCUUAGCAAGGCAGCGAUUCGUAGCCGCCCUAAGCGGGUGAUCGGCCACACUGGCACAGAGACAGGGCCCCGACACCGACGGGAGGCCGCAGUAGGGACUCCUCCGCAAUGCAGGAAAGCCUGACGGAGCAACGCGGCGUGAGUGAUGAAGGUCUUCGGACCGUAAAACUAUGUUAUUAGGGAAGAACAAAUGUGUAAGUACCUAUGCACGUAUUGACGGUACCUAAUCAGAAAGCCACGGCUAACUCCGUG